ensembl:lncRNA
CGCUCCGCAGUUGCGAAUGAGAAGAGCAUGUAUCCCUGAAAAUAAAUAAAUAAAUAAAUCAGCUGCUUUAACCCUGUUUGAUCAUGACAGAGUACUCACACGUAAAGUCCACCAAACUCGUCCUAAAAGGAUUAAACGAUAAAAAGGCUUUCUUUUUUGUAUUGCGUUCCACCAAAGUUUUAUCAUUUCUAAUUAAUGUUUACAGUUAAUUAACGUAAGUUACUGUUCUAAUUGAUGUGAGCAGCUGCGUAAUGUUGUGCCAAGAGUUAUGUCAAUAUCACGUUUUUUGACGCUAACGGUAAUAUUAAAUUGCCUCCACCUUCCAUAAUGUGCUGAAAGAAGAAAAAUAACAAAGACAAGAAGAGAAAACGAGAUGAUGAUGAAGACAGGAUGGAUAUCGUUGGUAUAUAUUGCCACUUUGCCCAAGGAGUUAUAAAAGAGGAUGAAGGCCCAGAUCCUCCAGAACAGUUUACUGCCAUCAGACUCUCAGACUCCAGCACUAAAGUCAGACUAUGGGAAGUAUUUAGGUGUAAACUCAGACAGUGUUGUGGUUGGGCGAUCAGAUGCCAUCGGCUCCAGAGAACAGUGGGAACCAGUGUUUCAGAAAGUGAGUGAAUCUGUCAGUCAGAU